rnacentral:rRNA from 1 species
GACGAACGCUGGCGGCGUGCUUAACACAUGCAAGUCGAACGGAAAGGCCCUGCUUUUGUGGGGUGCUCGAGUGGCGAACGGGUGAGUAACACGUGAGUAACCUGCCCUUGACUUUGGGAUAACUUCAGGAAACUGGGGCUAAUACCGGAUAGGAGCUCCUGCUGCAUGGUGGGGGUUGGAAAGUUUCGGCGGUUGGGGAUGGACUCGCGGCUUAUCAGCUUGUUGGUGGGGUAGUGGCUUACCAAGGCUUUGACGGGUAGCCGGCCUGAGAGGGUGACCGGCCACAUUGGGACUGAGAGACGGCCCAGACUCCUACGGGAGGCAGCAGUGGGGAAUAUUGCACAAUGGGCGGAAGCCUGAUGCAGUAACGCCGCGUGCGGGAUGACGGCCUUCGGGUUGUAAACCGCUUUCGCCUGUGACGAAGCGUGAGUGACGGUAAUGGGUAAAGAAGCACCGGCUAACUACGUG